AGGAGAGCCCGUGGACUGACAGGUUGGCAAAGAAAGCUUUAGCUCUGCCAUCUGAAGCUGCUCUGAUGCUGGGGGACGCCUGGGGAAAUCAGGCUUUGUGAAGUUUGGGAGGCAUCAGGAUGGAGCAAUCUGUGUCCUUCCCUCCCCUGGGUGGCCCCUGCACACCGAUACAGGACCUGAGGUCUCUGCAGCAGCUGUGCCCAGAGGAGGGGAGAAAACCCAGCACCCUCUCCCAGGUGGGCAAGGACCUGCUGAGGUCAAUCCUCAGGGGACAAGAGCCAGAGUUUUUGGGACAUAAACCAUUGACACUCCUCUGCCCUUUUGCCAAAUGUUACAAGGGCACAGGAAAAGCCUGGUGGAACUGCACUGUUCUCCCUGGAGAACAGCACUAAAUGUUAAGUAUUUUGUCCCCCAGAAUACUUGGGGUCUGAGAUGUGCCUUGUUUUAGUGUGUCUGCACACCCUUCAGAACCAGCUCCAAGGGCUCCUCUGGUCCCACCGUGGCUUUAUCACCCCGAGGUAAUGAUGAAACACUGAUGCCUCUGCCUCUUCCUGCUCAGUUUAUCAACACCAACGAGCUAAAGAAGGACAGAGUCUCCCUGGAUAUCCCAUAUAAUCCCAUGGCCUGCAGCCAAAAUACAGGAUAGAAAGAGCUAAAGUAAAUGUGAAAA